rnacentral:rRNA from 1 species
UGCGUUCCUGUCUCAGACUAAGCCAUGCACGUCUAAGUACAAACUAAAUGAUGGUGAAACUGCAAAUGGCUCAUUACAACGGUUAUGAUGUACCCGGGAGUUCCGAUGGAUAUUUCCAGUAACACUAGAACUAAUACAUGUCCCUGCGUUUAUUAGUUUCGCACAGUCCGUCGCUGAGUCAUGGUAAACAGUUGAUCGACUCGACGUCCCGGAACAGUUUCCGCCCCAUCAGCUUCGAUGGUUGGGUAUUGGCCUACCAUUGCAACAACGGGUAACGAGGAAUUAGGGUUUGAUUUCGGAGAGGGAGCCUGAGAAACGGCUACCACAUCUACGGAUGGCAGCAGGCGCGCAAAUUACCCAAUGCAGACACUGUGAGGUAGUGACGAGAAAUAAUAAAGCGGGACUUCUGUUUCGCUAUUAUAAUGAGGAAUAACCAAAGGUCAUUCCGAUUAGCAACUGAUGGGAAAGUCUGGUGCCAGCAGCCGCGGUAAUACCAGCGU